GGUACUGGGAGAUAACGGGGGAUACUGGGGGGUACUGGGAGAUAAUGGGGGGUACUGCGGGGUACUGGGGGGUACUGGGGUGGGAUACUGGGGGAUAUUGGGAGAUAAUGGGGGAUACUGGGGGAUACUGGGGGAUACUGGGAGAUAAUGAGGGAUACUGGGGGAUACUGGGAGAUAUUGGGGGAUACUGGGGGAUACUGGGAGAUACUGGGAGAUAUGGGGGUGGGAUACUGGGAGGUACUGGGCAGGAUAUGGGGGAUCACUUGGGGACCGUCUGCCCCACACUUAUGGGGUUCACCGUGAGCCCACUGGGGUCAAUUGGAGAUCUUCUGCCCCACAUCUGUGGGGUUCCCUAUGGGCUCAUAGGGGUCACCUGGGGACCUUCUGCCCCACACUUAUGGGGAUUGCUGUGGGUUCAUGGGGGUCUGUUGGAGAUGUUCUGCCCCACAUUUAUGGGGUUUCCCAUGGGUUUAUGGGGGUCACUUGGAGAGCUGCUGCCCCACACUUGUGGGGUUCCCUAUGGGCUCACGGGGGUCUCUUGGGUCCUUCUGCCCCACACUUGUGGGGUUUCCUAUGGGCUCACGGGGGUCUCUUGGGGACCUUCUGCCCCACACUUAUGGGGUUUGCUGUGGGUUGAUGGGGGUCUGUUGGAGAUGUUCUGCCACACAUCUGUGGGGUUCCAUAUGGGCUCACGGGGGUCACCUGGGGACCUUCUGCCCCACACUUAU
ensembl:lncRNA